rnacentral:rRNA from 1 species
UACGUAGGUGGCGAGCGUUGUCCGGAUUUACUGGGCGUAAAGAGCGCGCAGGCGGUCGUACAAGUCGCGUGUGAAAGCCCCCGGCUCAACUGGGGAGGGUCACGCGAUACUGCUCGACUCGAAGGCAGGAGAGGGAAGUGGAAUUCCCGGUGUAGUGGUGAAAUGCGUAGAUAUCGGGAGGAACACCAGUGGCGAAGGCGACUUCCUGGCCUGUUCUUGACGCUGAGGCGCGAAAGCUAGGGUAGCAAACGGG